rnacentral:tRNA from 1 species
GCGCCCAUAGUUUAAUGGAUAAAACUGCGGUCUUCGGAACCGUUGAUGGGGGUUCGAUUCCUCCUGGGCGCA